GUGUCAGCCGCCGCGGUAAUACGGAGGGUGCGAGCGUUGUCCGGAAUCAUUGGGUGUAAAGGGUGCGUAGGCGGGCUGCUAAGUCUGGGGUGAAAUCCUGCCGCUUAACGGUAGAAUGGCCCCCGAUACUGGCAGUCUUGAGUACAGAGGAGGUCGGUGGAAUUCGUAGUGUAGCGGUGAAAUGCAUAGAUAUUACGAAGAACACCAGUGGCGAAGGCGGCCGGCUGGUCUGUAACUGACGCUGAGGCACGAAAGCGUGGGGAGCGAACAGGAUUAGAUACCCUGGUAGUCCACGCUGUAAACGAUGUAUGCUAGGUGUCGGCCUUUCGGGGUCGGUGCUGCAGUUAACGCAGUAAGCGAUCCGCCUGGGGAGUACGGCCGCAAGGUUAAAACUCAAAUGAAUUGACGGGG
rnacentral:rRNA from 1 species